GAUUGAACGCUGGCGGCAGGCCUAACACAUGCAAGUCGAGCGGAUGAAGGGAGCUUGCUCCUGGAUUCAGCGGCGGACGGGUGAGUAAUGCCUAGGAAUCUGCCUGGUAGUGGGGGAUAACGUCCGGAAACGGGCGCUAAUACCGCAUACGUCCUGAGGGAGAAAGUGGGGGAUCUUCGGACCUCACGCUAUCAGAUGAGCCUAGGUCGGAUUAGCUAGUUGGUGGGGUAAAGGCCUACCAAGGCGACGAUCCGUAACUGGUCUGAGAGGAUGAUCAGUCACACUGGAACUGAGACACGGUCCAGACUCCUACGGGAGGCAGCAGUGGAGAAUAUUGGACAAUGGGCGAAAGCCUGAUCCAGCCAUGCCGCGUGUGUGAAGAAGGUCUUCGGAUUGUAAAGCACUUUAAGUUGGGAGGAAGGGCAGUAAGUUAAUACCUUGCUGUUUUGACGUUACCAACAGAAUAAGCACCGGCUAACUUCGUG
rnacentral:rRNA from 1 species